GAUGAACGCUGGCGGCGGGCCUAAUACAUGCAAGUCGAGCGAACGGACGAGAAGCGUGCUUCUCUGAUGUUAGCGGCGGACGGGUGAGUAACACGUGGGUAACCUACCUAUAAGACUGGGAUAACAACGGGAAACCGGAGCUAAUACCGGAGAAUAUUUUGAACCGCAGGGUUCAAAAGUGAAAGACGUCCUUGCUGUCUCUAAUAGAUGGAUCCGCGUUGCAUUAGCUAGUGGGUAAGGUAACGGCUUACCAAGGCAACGAUGCAUAGCCGACCUGAGAGGGUGAUCAGCCACACUGGAACUGAGACACGGUCCAGACUCCUACGGGAGGCAGCAGUAGGGAAUAUUCCGCAAUGGGCGAAAGCCUGACGGAGCAACGCCGCGUGAGUGAAGAAGGUCUUCGGAUCGUAAAGCUCUGUUAUUAGGGAAGAAAAUCUGUGUAAGUAACCGUGCCCGUCUUGACGGUACCUAAUCAGAAAGCAACGGCUAACUACGUG
rnacentral:rRNA from 1 species